rnacentral:rRNA from 1 species
AUUGAACGCUGGCGGCAGGCCUAACACAUGCAAGUCGAGCGGAUGAGUGGAGCUUGCUCCAUGAUUCAGCGGCGGACGGGUGAGUAAUGCCUAGGAAUCUGCCUAUUAGUGGGGGACAACGUUUCGAAAGGAACGCUAAUACCGCAUACGUCCUACGGGAGAAAGCAGGGGACCUUCGGGCCUUGCGCUAAUAGAUGAGCCUAGGUCGGAUUAGCUAGUUGGUGAGGUAAUGGCUCACCAAGGCGACGAUCCGUAACUGGUCUGAGAGGAUGCUCAGUCACACUGGAACUGAGACACGGUCCAGACUCCUACGGGAGGCAGCAGUGGGGAAUAUUGGACAAUGGGCGAAAGCCUGAUCCAGCCAUGCCGCGUGUGUGAAGAAGGUCUUCGGAUUGUAAAGCACUUUAAGUUGGGAGGAAGGGUUGUACGUUAAUACCGUGCGAUUUUGACGUUACCGACAGAAUAAGCACCGGCUAACUCUGUGCCAGCCGCCGCCGUAA